GCAGCAUGAACGCUUUUAUGAUGCGCUUGCACGGGCAAUAAUUACGGCAAUAAUUGUUCGGCGAUACGAAUGGAGCAAUCUGGAGCAAUUUCUUUCAUAUCGCUC